rnacentral:rRNA from 1 species
AGAACGAACGCUGGCGGCAGGCUUAACACAUGCAAGUCGAACGCACCUUUCGGGGUGAGUGGCAGACGGGUGAGUAACGCGUGGGAACAUACCCUUCGGUACGGAACAACUUGGGGAAACUUGAGCUAAUACCGUAUACGGCCUAUGGGCGAAAGAUUGUAUCGCCGAAGGAUUGGCCCGCGUUCGAUUAGCUUGUUGGUGAGGUAACGGCUCACCAAGGCGACGAUCGAUAGCU